AGAGUUUGAUCCUGGCUCAGAACGAACGCUGGCGGCGUGCUUAACACAUGCAAGUCGAGUGCGCGCCUGUAGCAAUACAGGUGGCGCACGGCGCACGGGUGCGUAACACGUGGGCAAUCUGCCCUCUGAUGGGGAAUAACCCGCCGAAAGGCGGGCUAAUACCGCAUAAAAUUCCUUGGACUCAUGUUCGAGGACUCAAAGGCGUAAGUCGUCGGAGGAGGAGCCCGCGCACGAUUAGCUAGUUGGUAGGGUAAUGGCCUACCAAGGCUUUGAUCGUUAGCUGGUCUGAGAGGAUGGCCAGCCACACUGGAACUGAGACACGGUCCAGACUCCUACGGGAGGCAGCAGUGGGGAAUCUUGCACAACGGGCGAAAGCCUGAUGCAGCGACGCCGCGUGGGGGAUGAAGCAUUUCGGUGUGUAAACCCCUUUCGACCCGGACGAAUGCCUCGCAAGAGGAGUGACGGUACGGGUAUAAGAAGCCCCGGCUAACUACGUGCCAGCAGCCGCGGUAAGACGUAGGGGGCCAGCGUUGUUCGGAAUUACUGGGUGUAAAGGGUCAGUAGGCGGUGUGGCAAGUUGGGAGUGAAAUCUAUGGGCUCAACCCAUAGGCUGCUUCCAAAACUGCUGUGCUUGAGUGUGGGAGAGGCGCGUGGAAUUGCAGGUGUAGCGGUGAAAUGCGUAGAUAUCUGCAGGAACACCCGUGGCGAAAGCGGCGCGCUGGACCACAACUGACGCUGAAUGACGAAAGCUAGGGGAGCAAACAGGAUUAGAUACCCUAGUAGUCC
rnacentral:rRNA from 1 species